CUUGCAGAGCAAGCCCGGGUAUGGCCUGAGCCAUCUUCCCACAGCCAGGGGAUUAUUUUUUCCCACAGAACGUCCCCUCACAGCACAGGUCAUGGGUAAAGUGCGCAUGCCUUCAGCAGCAGCUCGGAUGCUUCCUCUUCACCGUCACGGUGCCGCGGAGUGAUCUGCCAGCGCCAGGAGGACGCAUCUACUCCCAAUGUUCUCAGUCAAGGACAGCUCCCCUGAAGAGGCUCCCUGCCCCAUGAUGACAGCCACCGCAGGUCAUGCUUCCACUCAGUGUGGACAACGGAACUGCCCACGGUCUGGGCCAUCGGAGACAGUACUGACCCUCACACUUGGAGAUCCAUCAGCCCACUUGCUAAUGAUCAUCUUCCAAAUGGGACUUUCCAACUCCUACGUGGGCCUUACCCCUUCAUAAAACCUGGAGACAUCCCAGCUCCGGCACGGCACCUCUAAGCAUUUCAAAUCAAAGAAAAAGUGACCAGUUCUAAAUCCCAAAUUAUUUUGCCUUCGUUUGUAGAGAGAAUUCACACACGCACGCAUGCACGUGCAUACACACACACACACACACCUGACCUCCACAGUAUACCCCACUCAGGAACUGUCACAUAAUCUCCCUGAUUCCAGGUAUAGGCAAGUCUAUACAAUGAAAUCAGCAUAGCCUGAGAGUAGAUCAUAUAAGCACACAUGGAGGCCAGAGGUCAACACUGAUGUCUUCUUCUAUAGCUCUCAUUUUAGGGGUCGGUCGGGGUCUCUUACUGAACUUGGAACUCAUCAGUUCAGCGAGUUUGCCUGAUCAGUGAAGCCCAAAGAUCUGUGUCUUCACCCGGCCCAGUGUUAGGGUUUCAGGCACACACUAGUUGGGUUCUGGGGUACAACCUCAAGGUCUCAUGCGCACUCACCCAGCAGAUCCCCUGGGCCUGCUCCGAGUGCAGUCCAUCGCUGCACACCCAAGGUCAGUUCCCUUUCCUACCAGCUGUUUGAACACUGCAAAGAGAAUCCAAGUUGAUUUUAAAGUCCCUCCCGGGUUUAGUUUGAGUGACUUACAGUCUUAGAUCCUCAUUUCCAAUGGCCUUGUAGACCUGUUCUGCAGGCCAUACCACCCUCCCCUACUUUACUAACAGACAGAAAAAACCAGCAGAAUAAGGAAGACCAGGACCCUGAAAUACUGGUUUUUAUGAUUCUCUAAAGGUGUGAAAACCAGGAGCUGGGCAAAGCCCAUGAAGGUACGGCAUGAGGGGAGGAGGUUUCAGGAACCAGAGGGCGUACUUGACUUGGAAUGUUAAAGCUCUGGUGUUUGGUUCUGACAACAGCGUUCACACACUGCUCUGAGUACAAGGCCGGGAGCUCUGGAGAGCUGGGGUAGAAGAACAAGUUGGUCAUUUUUGGUGGGCCGCUCAGCUCCGCCUC